GUAGGGUGCGAGCGUUAAUCGGAAUUACUGGGCGUAAAGCGUGCGCAGGCGGUUCGUUAAGUUCGUUGUGAAAGCCCCGGGCUCAACCUGGGAACUGCAAUGGAAACUGGCGGGCUUGAGUGUGGCAGAGGGGGGUGGAAUUCCGCGUGUAGCAGUGAAAUGCGUAGAGAUGCGGAGGAACACCGAUGGCGAAGGCAGCCCCCUGGGCCAACACUGACGCUCGGGCACGAAAGCGUGGGGAGCAAACAGGACUAGAUACCCUGGUAGUCCACGCCCUAAACGAUGCUCACUAGGUGUUGGGGAAGCCAUUCCUUGGUACCGUUAACUAACGCGUUAAAGUGAGCCCCCUGGGGAGUACGGCCGCCAAGUUA
rnacentral:rRNA from 1 species